rnacentral:sRNA from 1 species
UCAGCAGGGGCUUCACCGUCGAUGGCGUC